rnacentral:rRNA from 1 species
UGGGGAAUAUUGCACAAUGGGCGCAAGCCUGAUGCAGCGACGCAGCGUGAGGGAUGACGGCCUUCGGGUUGUAAACCUCUUUCACCAGGGACGAAGCGCAAGUGACGGUACCUGGAGAGGAAGCACCGGCCAACUACGUGCCAGCAGCCGCGGUAAUACGUAGGGUGCGAGCGUUGUCCGGAAUUACUGGGCGUAAAGAGCUCGUAGGCGGUUUGUCGCGUCGUCUGUGAAAUUCUGCAACUCAAUUGUAGGCGUGCAGGCGAUACGGGCAGACUUGAGUACUACAGGGGGGACUGGAAUUCCUGGUGUAGCGGUGAAAUGCGCAGAUAUCAGGAGGAACACCGGUGGCGAAGGCGGGUCUCUGGGUAGUAACUGACGCUGAGGAGCGAAAGCGUGGGUAGCGAACAGG